rnacentral:rRNA from 1 species
UACGUAGGGUGCAAGCGUUGUCCGGAAUUAUUGGGCGUAAAGAGCUCGUAGGCGGUCUGUCGCGUCGGCUGUGAAAACCCGAGGCUCAACCUCGGGCCUGCAGUCGAUACGGGCAAACUAGAGUACUGCAGGGGAGACUGGAAUUCCUGGUGUAGCGGUGAAAUGCGCAGAUAUCAGGAGGAACACCGGUGGCGAAGGCGGGUCUCUGGGCAGUAACUGACGCUGGAGGAGCGGAAA